UACAGGGGGGGCAAGCGUUGUUCGGAAUUACUGGGCGUAAAGGGCGCGUAGGCGGCCAACUAAGUCACACGUGAAAUCCCCAGGCUUAACCUGGGAACUGCGUGUGAUACUGGAUGGCUUGAAUUCGGGAGAGGGAUGCAGAAUUCCAGGUGUAGCGGUGAAAUGCGUAGAUAUCUGGAGGAGUACCGGUGGCGAAGGCGGCAUCCUGGACCGACAUUGACGCUGAGGCGCGAAAGCUAGGGGAGCAAACGGG
rnacentral:rRNA from 1 species